CGCGGGAUAGAGCAGCUAGGUAGCUCGUCGGGCUCAUAACCCGAAGGUCGAUGGUUCGAAUCCAUCUCCCGCAACCA
rnacentral:tRNA from 1 species